rnacentral:rRNA from 1 species
AUACGGAGGAUGCAAGCGUUAUCCGGAUUUAUUGGGUUUAAAGGGUGCGUAGGCGGUUUGCUAAGCGGGAGGUGAAAUGCCGGCGCUCAACGUCGGAAGUGCCUCCCGAACUGGUGGACUUGAAUGACUCUGCCGUGGGAGGAAUGUGUAGUGUAGCGGUGAAAUGCUUAGAGAUUACACAGAACACCGAUUGCGAAGGCAUCUCACGAAGGGUUGAUUGACGCUGAGGCACGAAAGCGUGGGGAUCAAACAGGAUUAGAUACCCUGGUAGUCCACGCAGUAAACGAUGAUGGCUAACCGCUGGGCUUAUCAGUUCAGUGGCCAAGCGAAAGCGAUAAGCCAUCCACCUGGGGAGUACGACCGCAAGGUUGAAACUCAAAGGAAUUGACGGG